rnacentral:rRNA from 1 species
UAGUCAUAUGCUUGUCUUAAAGACUAAGCCAUGCAUGUCUAAGUAUAAGUAUUAUACAGCGAAACUGCGAAUGGCUCAUUAAAACAGUUAUAGUUUAUUCGAUUAUUUUCUCCUACAUGGAUAACCGUAGUAAUUCUAGAGCUAAUACAUGCUGUCAAACCUGACUUUUGUGGAAGGGUUGUAUUUAUUAGAUAUAAAACCAAUACCCAGCAAUGGGUUUUGUGAUGAUUCAUAAUAACUGAACGGACCGCGGCCGUGCUGCGGCGAAUCGUUCAAG